rnacentral:rRNA from 1 species
UACGUAGGGUGCAAGCGUUAAUCGGAAUUACUGGGCGUAAAGCGUGCGCAGGCGGCUUUGCAAGACAGAUGUGAAAUCCCCGGGCUUAACCUGGGAACUGCAUUUGUGACUGCAUGGCUGGAGUGCGGCAGAGGGGGAUGGAAUUCCGCGUGUAGCAGGUGAAAUGCGUAGAUAUGCGGAGGAACACCGAUGGCGAAGGCAUCC